rnacentral:rRNA from 1 species
GACGAACGCUGGCGGCGUGCUUAACACAUGCAAGUCGAACGGAAAGGCCCUGCUUUUGUGGCUUGCUCGAUUGGCGAACGGGUGAGUAACACGUGUGUAACCUGCCCUUGACUUUGGGAUAACUUCAGGAAACUGGGUCUAUUACCGGAUAGGAUCUCCUGCUGCAUGUGGUUGGUUGGAAAGUUUCGGCGUUUGGGGAUGGACUCGCUGCUUAUCAGCUUGUUGGGGUGGUAGUGGCUUACCAAGGCUUUGACGGGUAGCCGGCCUGAGAGGGUGGCCGGCGACAUUGGGCCUGAGAGACGGACCAGAAUCCUAUGGGAGGCAGCAGUGGGGAAUAUUGCACAAUGGGCGGAAGCCUGAUGCAGCAACGCCGCGUGCGGGAUGCCGGCCUUCGGGUUGUAAACAGAUUUCGCCUGUGACGAAGAGUGAGUGACGGUAAUGGGUAAAGAAGCACCGGCUAACUACGUG